rnacentral:rRNA from 1 species
AUUGAACGCUGGCGGCAGGCCUAACACAUGCGAGUCGAGCGGAUGAAGGGAGCUUGCUCCUGGAUUCAGCGGCGGACGGGUGAGUAAUGCCUAGGAAUCUGCCUGGUAGUGGGGGAUAACGUCCGGAAACGGGCGCUAAUACCGCAUACGUCCUGAGGGAGAAAGUGGGGGAUCUUCGGACCUCACGCUAUCAGAUGAGCCUAGGUCGGAUUAGCUAGUUGGUGGGGUAAAGGCCUACCAAGGCGACGAUCCGUAACUGGUCUGAGAGGAUGAUCAGUCACACUGGAACUGAGACACGGUCCAGACUCCUACGGGAGGCAGCAGUGGGGAAUAUUGGACAAUGGGCGAAAGCCUGAUCCAGCCAUGCCGCGUGUGUGGAGAAGGUCUUCGGAUUGUAAAGCACUUUAAGUUGGGAGGAAGGGCAGUAAGUUAAUACCUUGCUGUUUUGACGUUACCAACAGAAUAAGCACCGGCUAACUUCGUG